GCCUACGAACAGUGGCGCAGAAGUUGACAAGCCCGGUGAAGAAUGUUAAUGGAGUUGUGUUUGCGCAGAAGUAACGCGAUCCUUUGCUGUGUGCGGCCUCUUAGACCCGCUCUGUGAUGUCUUUAGUCAUACCUGUCAAGCCCGGAGUGAACCGUCGUUGCUCCCAACCCGAAGCCUUUACUAAACGAACGUAUACGUGGCGGAACAGUUUCGCUUGGUCAUGAUCAUCACCGCACGCCGUACUGUCCGAUCCAGGCGACGGCCCCAACAACACUUUCCCUCUUCCGUGGAGUUCUGCCUUGAAGCACGCCUGUGUUGCCCCUGGAGGUCCUUCAAGUAGGUCCAUCAGGGCCCACACACCACACAAUACGCCGUUGUUUUGCAGAAUAUCCAGACAAAACAAACAGUGGAAACACCAGACCAUCUGACAGAUUCUCCUUGGUACCAGACAAGACGUCCGUAUCAGCGUCUAGACCAAUGCCCAGGGAAAGCACACAGAGAGCACAGUCGAUGACAAGAUUGGAGCUUGGCGGUCACACCCCGGACUUGGUGCGGAGGAUGGUUAUCGUAACAGCUCGGCCAACGUCUUCGUCGCAUCUAGUCACACGUAAGUAUUUUACCGGUCAAAGUUAGCUUCAGGACGGUCGUUACGAAGAAGACGCAGAAGACCAACUGCAACAGUUCACCCCCUAGUGAUACGGUUUUACGUGCACUGCCAUGCUUUCCUGGAAACUGUGACGAUCGCGUCCCUUCCUUAGUUUGUGCGCACCCAUUAACCGGUUGACGAAUGCAAACCGGAAACCGUGCACUUUUUAGUGCUUCCGGUAUCCCUACGG